UUUCCCGUAAGGCGCCGAAUGAGUCAUUAAAAAAAUUAACAUCAUCCGAUCCCUAGUCGGCAUAGUUUAUGGUUAAGACUACGACGGUAUCUGAUCGUCUUCGAUCCCCUAACUUUCGUUCUUGAUUAAUGAAAACAUCCCUUGGCAAAUGCUUUCGCAGUAGUUAGUCUUCAAUAAAUCCAAGAAUUUCACCUCUGACAAUUGAAUACUAAUGCCCCCAACUAUCCCUAUUAAUCAUUACGUCAAUCCUAGAAACCAACAAAAUAGGAUCAAACGUCCUAUUUCAUUAUUCCAUGCUAAUGUAUUCAAGCGUUAGCUUGCUUUAAACACUCUAAUUUUUUCAAAGUAACAGUCCUGUUUCCCUGCAACACCAAAUUAAUGACAUUACAGUUCUUCAGAAAGGAGGAAUCAGCGAAACCAGUGCGUACCAGAGGCACGACCAACCUGCUGACCCCGAAAUUCAACUACGAGCUUUUUAACUGCAACAACUUUAAUAUACGCUAUUGGAGCUGGAAUUACCGCGGCUGCUGGCACCAGACUUGCCCUCCA
rnacentral:rRNA from 1 species